rnacentral:rRNA from 1 species
AUGCUCACGGCUGCUCUGCUCCGUUCCCCUCGCUCCCCAUCGUGCACCGCAUUCCUCCCAUGGCUCCCGGCCUCACUCCCUCUCUCUUUGCCAGCCUCCCGAGCUCCAUCGCUGCGCCUGCCGCGUCGAGCCACCUUUCCUCAACCUCCAGCUCCGGCAGCCGCGCAUCUUCGUCUCUGCAAGUCAUCUGCCGCCACCACACCGGCUCUGGCUGCCUGCAAGCCCGACGUCGUGCCGUUCCGCGUGCAGCGCACCUGCCUGCCUCACCACAGACGCCGUGGUCCCCCAUUCCUUCGCAGACCGACACCGAGUACCUCCCGUCGCUGCUCUCUUCCCCGCAAGCCCCUCUCUGCCUUGUCUCCCUGGUCGCUGCUCCCUGCCGCCAGAUGCCCUCCGUUCUGGACGCCGUCGUGCUCGACCCCCGCUCGACAGCCAGAUAGCACUUCCCCGAGCUGUCACCGUCCUCGUGCCAAGCCACCGGACCUCCCCUGCCCCGACGCCCAAGGAGGGGCACGAGGCAGUGCCUCCUCGCGUCGGGGACCUGGCCAGCCGCCCCGUCUCGGCACCGCACUUAACGCCCCUUUCCUUCGUCAGUCCGUCGCCGGGCCUGGACGCCCUCGACCCGACGCCCGCCCCCCACGGCGCUUCUUGUGUUGGCCCCCUCCUCAACCACCAACGCCGACUGCGUCGCCUGGGUCUCCGCCGCGCUCGGCCCGCUCGAGCGGGCUCACCCUCGCGUCGCCGCUUCGCUCGCUCGUUGCGCUCGACCUCACCGUCGUGCUCCUCCUGUUGCCUAAUGACUCCACCGCCUCUUCCCGCUUCGGGAGCCCCGUGUCCUUCGCCGCCGUCCCGCUGCGGCCGCACCGCCCCGUCCCGGCGUCCGUGCACCCCGGCUCGGGCCACGCCCGCACGCUCGCGGGCUCCGCCCCGCUCCGGGCUGGCCGGUUGGCCCUAUACGUUCUUCCCCGCAGACAUCUUAGUAGCGUGUACGGUACCGAAGGCCAACUCUUAAUCCAAAAAUGUUUCAUGGAACUAUUGAAGAAAAGAUACCAUAUCUAG